rnacentral:rRNA from 1 species
CAUUCCUACGGGACGCAGCAGUAGGGAAUCUUCCACAAUGGGCGAAAGCCUGAUGGAGCAACGCCGCGUGGGUGAAGAAGGUCUUCGGAUCGUAAAACCCUGUUGUUAGAGAAGAAAGUGCGUGAGAGUAACUGUUCACGUUUCGACGGUAUCUAACCAGAAAGCCACGGCUAACUACGUGCCAGCAGCCGCGGUAAUACGUAGGUGGCAAGCGUUAUCCGGAUUUAUUGUGCGUAAAGGGAACGCAGGCGGCUUUUUAUGUCUGAUGUGCAAGCCUUCGCCUUAACCGGGGUAGUGCAUUGGUA